AUGAAUGUUGAAAUUCUGAAUUUUUUUGGAAAUGGAAUUGGAAGAGAAUUUCAUUAUGAAUUGUUUUGUAUUGGAAUCUCUGAAUCCUUUCCGAUUUCGAUCCAUUCGAAAAUUGGCGGGAAACAAUUAAUUAGGACUAUUAAAAAUGGUGAAUGGCUAACUAUGAAUUUUGAAUUUAAGACAUUCUCCAAUAACAUAGACGUUGUGUUACUAAACCAAAUGGUCAUUGGACAUUUGA
rnacentral:lncRNA from 1 species